rnacentral:rRNA from 1 species
UAGUUAUGUGUGGACGGGAUAAGUGCUGAAAGCAUCUAAGCAUGAAGCCCCCCUCAAGAUGAGAUUUCCCAACUUCGGUUAUAAGAUCCCUCGAAGAUGACGAGGUUAAUAGGUUCGAGGUGGAAGCGUGGUGACACGUGGAGCUGACGAAUACUAAUCGAUCGAAGACUUAAUCAAUUUUUAAA